rnacentral:lncRNA from 1 species
UGGAGAUCUGCCUGGGCAUGAAGUGGAGAGGCCCUGCUUUACCACAAUCUCUGCACAGGAAGGGUGGGGAAGCUCAGGCUGCUAUUCUGGGUUAAUGACUUUCUUUCUUCAGCAUUGUGGAUGAAUUAGGUUUUGUCAUGGGGAAAAACAUGAUCUGCAAAUUCAUCAUUUUUUGAGACUGUGAAUAUCAGCAAAACUAUCAACUUUCAGGAAAAUGGAAACUGUCCACUUUCAGGUGAAGUUGAGCAUGGAUGAUAUGAUGUUUGUGAGCCUGAUCAUGUUGUACCCCUAUUAUAUGCUAUGCCACUGCAGCGAUCAAGCUUGUCUAAAACCACCCCUGCCUUCAUACCACUCAAGGAGAAGACAAAUAUAGUUGGUUAUUGGAAGAACCAACAGGAUUUUACAGGAUAAGUAGACAUUUCAUAGAGCUCUUGAAACCUGAAAAUGAUUGACAUUGCUGUGUGAAAGGAAAAUAUCUUGGGCCCCCAAAAUCACUAAGUUAAAGGGAAAAUUCAAGCUGGAAACUGCUUAGGGUAAACCUGCCUCCCAUUCUAUUAAAAGUCAUCCUUCUGCUCACUGAGAUAAAUGCAUGUCUAAUUGCCUCCUUUGAAAGGCUAAUCAGAAACUCAGAAGAAUGCAACCAUUUGUCUCUCACCAACCUGUGACCUGGACCCUCCCCGCUUUGAGUUGUCCCACUUUUGUUUUGAGUUGUCCCGCCUUUCCAGACUGAACCAUUGUUAUAUAUGUUGAUUGAUGUCUCCUGUCUCCCUAAAAUGUAUAAAACCAAGCUGUGCUCUGACUACUUUGAGCACAUGUUGUCAGGACCUCCUGAGGCUGUGUCACAGGCAUGCAUCCUCAACUUUGGCAAAAUAAACUUUCUAAAUUAACUGAGACCUGUCUCAAAUUUUGGGGGUUCACAUUUGGUAACCAUGGAGGGAUUCUGAGUGGAGAUGCCCCUGACUUCUGACAAAUCUCCUAUCGGUUCUUCGUACCAGCAUGAGCUAACUUUAUAGCUCAAACCAAUAGGACAAUUUGCUGAGGUCAGGGAGCAACCCUUCCAGAGAAUCCCUGAUCUCCAAAAAUUUGGUCAAGAUCUAAAGUUUAUUUUGCUGUAUACUCCUUUUGUUUUUCUUGCUUCCAACAAGGAAGGCAAGAUUUCCUGUUUCCAAGACAAUGGAAAGCAGGUAACUCCUUUAUGGAGUUUGAGCUCGCUCCCAGCUGGGAAGACGAGUUGGAGUAUUUUUCCUGCUUCUACAAUGGUAGAAAGCAGUCUUCAGCCUAAGAUCCAUCUCUGGGUAAGUAGCUGAAUUGUGGUUUUGUCUUGGCUAAAGUUCAACAACCAGCUUAUCAUUGGAGCACUCAGUGAUCAUAUUGUUGGGCUUUGUUGUUGUUGUUUGUUCCAGUCUUUCUCCCAUCAGAUUUCAUCAACUCUAUCUGACUUGGACAAAUCCAAGUGAGAAUUGCAAAUGAUGGGUAACAAGCCCUCUCUAAUUUGGCUAAAAUUCCUCAUAGCUGCAAAAUUAAACAAAGAGAGAAAACAAGAAAACCAUGUGUUUGGUUUCUGUGUUCGCUUCCUUUCUUUAAAAAAAAAAAAAUUGUUCUUUUGUUUACUUUUCUUCCACCCUAUACCUCCUUCCCCCUUUGCCAUCUGAAGUAUCAAAAAUUCUAGAGAAAGCUUCUAAUGACUUUCAUACACGUCCGUGUGAAGAGGUCACUAAACAGGCUUUGUGUGAGCAACAUGGCUGUUUAUUUCACCUGGGUGCAGGCAGGCUGAGU